UUGAUUUUAUGCUCCGUGUAAAUCACAAAUUAUGAUUCAUCGAUCGGGAUUUCCAUUCCCAACAGUUGGUAGCAGAGGAUGGUUUUGUGUUGACACAUGAGCGGAGAUUGGACUGGCCGUUCAGGCGCAGACUUUCCGGAACAGUACUCUGGUCCUCUGGCCCAUAUGAAAGGUAAGGACACUUGUUCCUUAAUACACCAUUGUACUGUUUCUCAGGUGUGUAUAAAUUUCAGUUAUCAGCCGUCGUCUGUACCGUUUCCCAGGUUUGUCUAAAUUUCAUAUUGCUUUUACAUUUCUGUUCAAAUUGCGUUUCACUGGCCUGUCUACAUGUUUAACUGUUCAUAGGAGUAUAGACAAGAAAAAGUAGAUUUAGAUGUGGAGAAACUAAGUAGUUUUUAGGUGUGAAGAAAUAAAGUAGUUUUUAGGUGUGAAGAAAUAAAGUAGUUUUUAGGUGUGAAGAACUAAAGUAGUUUUUAGGUGUGAAGAAACUAAGUAGUUUUUAGGUGUGAAGAACUAAAGUAGUUUUUAGGUGUGAAGAAAUAAAGUAGUUUUUAGGUGUGAAGAUUUAGGUGUAAAGGUCGAUUGGCUUACAGUGGGAGCUGGCCGUCCCCAGCUUUUCCUGGACGCGGGGAAGGUUAAGGCUAGGUUUUGUCGUUUUAUCCUCGGGGAGUGCUGCCCUCUGAGACUUUCCCAAGAGACGCAAAGCGUUGAGAGCGGUCCUCAAUGCUCUCAACGCAUUGAGAACCGUUAUUUCAUAAGAAUGAAAUAACGGUUGAUCGCGGUCUGAUCCUCUGUAGAGUAAUAAGUGAUAAAAGAGGACAAAAAUAGGAGCUGUAAAGCGUGGGUCCAUUUCUGUGUAAAGUUGUGUGUGUAUCUGUCAGUUGUGUGUGUCUGUCAGCUGUGUGUGUAAGCUUCUGCCGCUGAGCAGACGUUAUGUGUUUAAAUGUACUUUUUUCUGUUUAUUGCAAUGUGUUUUAAAACCAUGGUCAACAUUGGAAAAUUAUAAUCUGUGGGAGGUUUUUGAUUUUGUCUACUGGGUUUGAUUUUCCGCUGUGUUUGAUUUCUUUUUUUUUUUUGCUGUGUUUGCAAAAAAGAAAAAAAGAGAAGAGAGGUGAUUUCUGAGUCUAAAUUUUGAGCCUAAACAGAUGGAGGGUGAACUUGAAAAGGAAAAAUACGAUCCAAAGUGGUACGCCAGGACAUGGAUUACGCUCGGUGAGCAAAUAGAACCAUUAAUAACUUAUUUGGCAGAUCAUGAUGAAUAUCAAAAUAAGGGAAAAAGAGAAAAACAAAAAAAGGGAUAGAAUACCUGGUGCAGAAGAAAGGAGGCGACCUGUUAAACAGACAGCCCUCGGGGAAAUACCGGCUGGAAGGAAUGACGCUAAGGGAAAACUGAUUGGAACUAAACUAAUCCGGCACAAUUCACUAUUUUCAGAUGUGGUAAUAGUGAAAAUAUUACCACAUCUGAAUGUGGUAAUAUUUUACCACAGAUGAAUGAAAUUACAUAACAGGUAAAAUUGUAAACAAAAUAAAGUGACAUCUAAUGGGUUGAAGCAUUUGAAACUCGGCUUAGCUGUAGACAGGGUUAAAUUUAAACUUAAUGAAACUUGAAAAAUUGAGAUUUGUAGCAGACUUGAACUUUAUUAUGGACUAAACAAUAUUUUUCUCUCUUAUUAUC